UACGAAGGGGACUAGCGUUGUUCGGAAUUACUGGGCGUAAAGCGCACGUAGGCGGAUUCGUAAGUCAGGGGUGAAAUCCCGGGGCUCAACCUCGGAACUGCCUUUGAUACUGCGGAUCUCGAGUCCGAUAGAGGUGGGUGGAAUUCCUAGUGUAGAGGUGAAAUUCGUAGAUAUUCGGAAGAACACCAGUGGCGAAGGCGACUAACUGGACAAGUACUGACGCUGAGGUACGAAAGCGUGGGGAGCAAACAGG
rnacentral:rRNA from 1 species